rnacentral:misc_RNA from 1 species
UGUACACAAUGAGGAUUUCCGGAUAAUCUGGACGGAUAUAUUCAUUUGAUGAAAUGUAACUAGGAGUAAAUUGGCUACAGACUAACUUUUGUUGGUGAAUGAAGACGCCCAGGUGUACCUGCUGGGCAGUAUUUCAGACAAGAGUGAACACUUGGACUACCAUGAAGAACGCAUUUCUUAUAGCAAGCUUUCUAACUACAAAUUUGAUCUCUACGCUGGCCUCGGAAAGUAAAAGAGCAUGUGAAGAUUACCGCUUUGAGCCGGACUGUACGCCUUGUUUCUGCCAAGGACUUCGUUGUGAUAAAAAAUCAGGCGCUUGUCCUACUGAUUGCCAACCUGGUUGGCAUGGCACGUCGUGUAAUAUAUCAUGUGAACCUGGAAAGUUUGGUACAAAUUGUGCGGGGGAAUGUCGCUGUCUGAAUUCGUCAUCAUGUGAUAAACGUACCGGUGCAUGUGGUGAUGGAAAUUGUUUGUUUGGAUGGAAAGGAAAAUAUUGUAAUAUAAGUGCGAUAGUGUCCGAAGGGAAGUCGGUAAAGAUGAGCACUCAGUUUUCAAAAUGGAACGCAGAAAGAGCAGUUGAUGGGAAUAAAAGAACGGCAGCAUCACCUUGCAAAUGUUGUGCUUCUACUAAAUAUACAAAUUCACCAUGGUUUCAAAUUGACUUAGGAAAGCUAUUUAGAAUCGCUUAUAUAAUUAUUUAUGGACGAACUGAUUAUAAAAAGAAAUUGCAAAGUUUCAAAGGUCUAAAUAUUUAUGCGACGAAGCAUGAUCGAAGUAUCGGAGAACCGAUAUUUUCCUUCUCCGAGAUCAAAUAUUUCCUGAAUAUAACAUUGAAAACUCCAGUCAUCACGCAGUACAUCACAUUAAAACAAACGGGAAGAAAACGCAUGGUUAUUUGCGAACUUCAGCUACUGGAAGGAGAAUGUGAUGAUGGGCAAUUUGGACGUCUGUGUGAUAAAUUUUGUAAUUGUCUUGGCGGAAUAUGUAAUAAAGAAACGGGUGUAUGUCCAUCUGGAAUAUGUCUCCCUGGGUAUCGAGGAUCUACAUGUUCAGAUGAAUGUGCAGAUGGACAGUUUGGCAUUGGGUGCAAUGAAACUUGCGGACAUUGUAUAAACGGAACAACAUGUGACAAAGUACACGGAAAUUGUCUCAGCUGUAAUCCAGGCUACCAUGGACAACUUUGUACAGCAUCAUGUAGUAACGGCACGUAUGGCUUGAAUUGUUCUUCAUAUUGUGAGAACUGUAAAGAAAACGAAUGUGAUCAUGUGACAGGGCAGUGUGUGCAUGGCUGUAACCCUGGAUACAGUGGUCUUAUAUGUAACACAUCAUGUGGAUAUGGGAGCUAUGGAAUUAACUGUAGUCAGCGUUGUGGAUCCUGUGCCAAUAACCAAACGUGUAACAACACAAACGGACAUUGUGAUACAGGAUGUUUGGAAGGAUUUAUAGAACCGCUGUGUUUAACUCGAAACGAAGAACUAGUGCAAGAUGAAAAUUCAAGUCAGAUGUUAGGUUCAACAGUCGGAAUUCCCAUGGGUUUAGCUUUUGUUGUACUGGCUGUGGUGAUAGUUACAAUUGUCAUUCUUCGAAAAAGGAGACAAAAGCGCAUUCCUGGUAAAGAUGAUGAUGUCAUCGAGGCUGACAAUACAAAGGUCAAAAAUAAAGACGAUCUACCAAGCAUUCCAAAUAAAGACCCGGAACUUGUUCAGAGAACUGUGACUUUUGCUUAUGUAGCACCUGAAGAGAUUGAAUAUUAUGAUUUCGCUCCUAGAAAGGAAGAUAUCAAGAUACAUCAAAUAUGGGAUUACGUACAUGAUGGAAUGGCAGAUGACUGUAAACAAUUUUACAAAGAAUUUGAAGGUUUCAAGAAAGGCCUGCAAUGUGAGUGCAAAUGUGCCAAAGAAUCACAGAACAAACUGAAAAAUAGAUAUAAAGAAGUCUAUGCUUAUGAUGAAAAUCGUGUUUGUUUGAAGCCAAAUGAUCCGUCUGAAGGUGAUUAUAUCAACGCGUCCUUUAUUGAUGGAUACGAGAAACUUGAAAAAUUUAUUGCCUCUCAAGGUCCCACAAAAGAAAUGGUUGAUGAUUUUUGGAGGAUGAUUUGGCAACAACGCUGCACAGAUAUUGUCAUGUUGACCAAUAUAUUUGAACUCUGUGUGGUUUUAAGUAGAAGACCAAGGUCUUAGAGAUAUUGAUAUUGUCUGAUGCAAGGAUUCAGCAUGAUUGGAUGGUUGAGCGAAUUUCCAUUAUGGGGUUAAUGACCAUUGCAAAAAGAAUGAAAGGCGAUGAAACCCGAAUAGUAAAACAGUAUCACUUUACAUCUUGGCCUGAUAAAACAACACCAGAUACAGCUUGGAGCCUUGUCAACUUCUGGAGAAUUGUCAGAGAGGGAACAAUAGAUGGAAAA